UUUACGGGAGGCAGCAGUGAGGAAUCUUGGACACUGGGCGCAAGCCUGAUCCAGCUAUAUCGCGUGGGUGACGAAGGUUAUAUUGAUUGUAAAACCCUUUCAUUGAAAAAAAACGGUACACCGUUUUUUGGAGACUUUGACAUGAAUCAAAGAAGAAGCUCCGGCAAAUUCUGUGCCAGCAGCCGCGGUAAU
rnacentral:rRNA from 1 species